rnacentral:tRNA from 1 species
GCACCCGAGUGGUUACGGAGCGUACUAGUGACCACCAGUCGUCUGACUACGGAUCAGAAGGUUAGGGGUUCGAGUCCCUUCGGGCGCA